CCUACGGGAGGCAGCAGUGAGGAAUAUUGGUCAAUGGUCGGGAGACUGAACCAGCCAAGCCGCGUGCGGGAUGAAGGUACAGAGUAUCGUAAACCUCUUUUGUCAGGGAACAAAGGCGGGGACGCGUCCCCGGAUGAGUGUACCUGAAGAAAAAGCAUCGGCUAACUCCGUGCCAGCAGCCGCGGUAAUACGGAGGAUGCGAGCGUUAUCCGGAUUUAUUGGGUUUAAAGGGUGCGCAGGCGGUCUGUUAAGUCAGAGGUCAAAGCCCGGGGUUCAACCCCGGCCCGCCGUUGAAACUGGAAGGCUCGAGUUGGAGAGAAGUACGCGGAAUGCGCGGUGUAGCGGUGAAAUGCAUAGAUAUCGCGCAGAACUCCGAUUGCGAAGGCAGCAUGCCGGCUCCACACUGACGCUGAGGCACGAAAGCGUGGGUAUCGAACAGGAUUAGAUACCCGGGUAGUC
rnacentral:rRNA from 1 species